AAACUGUAAAAACAUUAAAAAUACAACAAGGCAGUGCGAAGAUAUGGCGAUUCAAAAUUCUAUUUUUACUGAAAAAUCAGCCAUUUUGUUACUAAAAAUAGAUUUUUUUCGAACUUUGAAUCGCCAUAUCCUUGCACUGCCUUGUUGUAUUUUUAAUGUUUUUACAGUUUU